CUUGCCUUUCUUCCGUAGAAUACUGGCUCCUGGAUAGCAGGGACCAUGCUGAAUUCCUCUCCAUGCCUUGCACAAGGUCAGACGGAGAGCUGGUGCUCCAUACAGCAACUGCAAACAGGACGAGAGAUCAGACUUUCACAUGAAGCCAGCAGCCAGAGACCUUGGGAAGAGCAUGCCACGACAGCCCUUCCUCUGCUCCAGCUAAGUGGAUGCAACGAGCUAUAUGUGUUCAACCUGAAAAGCCGCGUCCGGGAUGGGGAACCACUGUUUACCAGGCCCCAGAUGCUGGGCUAAGCUCUGGCCUUCAUUAUCCUGUUUAAGCCUCACAACAAUCUUGUUGGUUGGACGGCAGGAGUUCAAAGUCAGUCUUAUGGGAAUAAAAUGAAGGUGUUGCAGAGCUGGCUCAUCCCGGAGGCGCCAGGGGAGAACCUGUUCUGGCCUCUUCCAGCUUCUAGAAGCGGCUCGCAUUCUGUGGCUGUGGCUGCAUCACUCCCGUCUCGACACCCGUCCCCACAUCGCCCUCCCCUCUGACCUCACUCCCCCUGUGUCCUCCUUGGAAUUACACUCAACCCACCAGG
rnacentral:lncRNA from 1 species